AGCGGUCCGAGUGGUUAAGGAGUUGGACUUGAAAUCCAAUGGGCAUUGCCCGCGCAGGUUCGAAUCCUGUUCGCUG
rnacentral:tRNA from 1 species